UUUUUAUUCACGAUUUGAUUUUUAUUAUAAAAUUAAAAUAGCUAUAACUUUAAUUUUUAAGACCGUAUGACAGACAUGAGAUCCCAACCUAUCUCUGAGGGCUCAACCGUACCUACAGAUGAUGAGAUCUGUGAUCAGAUGCUUGGUAUGAGAUCUUAUUAUAUUAGGAGUCUAGGAUAUGGGAUCACUGCUCCCUCAUCCUUACACUCAUCUAGGGCUGACAUCCAUCCUGCUUGUGAGGCUCGACUGACGGAGGUGCAGAGGCAGGCUGUCGAGGAUCAACAGUGGGCUGAGCAACGAGCUCAAGAGUUAGCUGCACGUGUCGAUAAGUAUCAACAGCUCCAGAUCCAGAUGAUGAAGUGGAUGGCAUAGAUGGAGUAGACAAUACAGCUGAUGAGGCAGCAGCAGUCUCUCCAUUGUCAUGCACGAUCAGAGACGGUAUCCGAAGAGUCUAAUCACUCUCUGUGAAGCAUCUUCUCCUAUUCUUGGCUGAUUCAACAAAUUAAAAGAAAAAAAGAAGAGAGCUGCAACUUCCUCCCAAACAGCAGUCUCCCUGCAUGCAUCCUCUCAAUUAGCAGUAGCCUCUACCCCAUCUCAACCAGUAGCACCCUCCCUGCAUGGCUCCUCCUAACCAGCAGCAGCCUCUAUCUCAUCCCAACUAGCAGCAACCUUUAUGUCCUCCCAACCAGCAGCACCUGGACCUUCAACAGCAGCCUCCCAAUUAUGAAAUUUAUUUGUUUUGAUAUAUUUUGGAUGAAACUUUAUAUAAUUUUGGAUGAUACUUUGUAUGAUACAAAGUUUAAAGUGAUACAUUGGUAAUGAUGUAUUUUAUUUGGAUGAAACUUUGUAUAAUUUUGGAUGUUGAAACUUUGUUAAUGAUGUGUCUAAAGUGAUACAAAGGCCUUUGAUACAUUGUUAAUGAUGUGUUUAAAGU